CCUAGGGGUGCUGCAGUGAGGAAUAUUGCACAAUGGGGGGAACCCUGAUGCAGCAACGCCGCGUGGAGGAUGACGCAUUUCGGUGUGUAAACUCCUUUUAUAUGUCAAGAAAAUGACGGUAGCAUAUGAAUAAGCACCGGCUAACUCCGUGCCAGCAGCCGCGGGUAAUACGGAGGGUGCAAGCGUUACUCGGAAUCACUGGGCGUAAAGGACGCGUAGGCGGGUUGGAAAGUCAGGUGUGAAAUCCUACAGCUUAACUGUAGAACUGCACUUGAAACUUCUAAUCUAGAGUAUGGGAGGGGGAGAUGGAAUUAGUGGUGUAGGGGUAAAAUCCGUAGAUAUCACUAGGAAUACCUAAAGCGAAGGCGAUCUCCUGGAACAUUACUGACGCUAAGGCGUGAAAGCGUGGGGAGCAAACAGGAUUAGAUACCCUCGUAGUC
rnacentral:rRNA from 1 species